rnacentral:rRNA from 1 species
AAAAGAACUCUGAAUAGAGAGUUAAAUAGUACGUGAAACUGCUUAGAGGUUAAGCCCGAUGAACCUGAAUAUCCAUUAUAAAGAAUUCAUCAUCAAUAUAUUUAUAUGUAUAGAAAUAUAUAUAUAUUUAUAAUGUUGUGCAUUUUCUUUAUAUAGGGACAUUGUAAUCUAUUAAUAUAAAUAAUUUAUUAUAAGAUCAAUUGUAAAUGUUUAUUAUAAUUAUAUUGUCUUCUGAUAAUAAUAUUUAAUAAAUACAUUUGAUUUAAUAAAGUAUUGAUAGAUUUAAUCAUAUGUAUGGUGCAUAAAUUUCAUUUUUAAUGAAAUUUUAUAAUGUAUGUUAAUAAUAUAUGUUAUAAGCACUGAUACGAUUAACAAUGCGAAAGAUUCAGGAUACCUUCGGGACCCGUCUUGAAACACGGACCAAGGAGUCUAACAUAUGUGCAAGCUUUUGGGUAUUAUUUAAUAAACCCAUAAGCAAAAUUAACUUAACUAUUUAUGGGAUUAAUUUUUAAUCUAUUAUUUAAAGAUUAUUAAUGCAAUCCCGGGGCGUUCUAACAGUUAUGUAUAAUAAUAUUUUUAAUAUUAUUUAUUCCUCUAACUAGAGCGUACCUUGAGCAUAUAUGCUGUGACCCGAAAGAUGGUGAACUAUACUUGAUCAGGUUGAAGUCAGGGGAAACCCUGAUGGAAGACCGAAACAGUUCUGACGUGCAAAUCGAUUGUCAGAAUUGAGUAUAGGGGCGAAAGACCAAUCGAACCAU